rnacentral:lncRNA from 1 species
AAAAGAAGGAAAAAUUUUAGAAUGCAACGGGUAUAUUGGUUACGUGGUGUAACAAGCCAAUCAAAUAUCUCUUUUUAGAGAUAUAUCUUCCAUCAUGAUUAUAACAAAUAUUUUUAUUGUACUUUUGUUUGAAAAGAAAAAUUGUGAUUGACUUGUUAUUGAUGACGUGGUGCAAGUGUGGCAGUGUAGAAUUCCUCCCAAAAAAAGCGACUCUCCUACAAAUU